rnacentral:rRNA from 1 species
GAUGAACGCUGGCGGCGUGCCUAAUACAUGCAAGUCGAGCGAACGGAAGAGAAGCUUGCUUUUCUGAUGUUAGCGGCGGACGGGUGAGUAACACGUGGAUAACCUACCUAUAAGACUGGGAUAACUUCGGGAAACCGGAGCUAAUACCGGAUAAUAUUUUGAACCGCAUGGUUCAAGAGUGAAAGACGGUUUUGCUGUCACUUAUAGUUGGAUCCGCGCUGCAUUAGCUAGUUGGUAAGGUAACGGCUUACCAAGGCAACGAUGCAUAGCCGACCUGAGAGGGUGAUCGGCCACACUGGAACUGAGACACGGUCCAGACUCCUACGGGAGGCAGCAGUAGGGAAUCUUCCGCAAUGGGCGAAAGCCUGACGGAGCAACGCCGCGUGAGUGAUGAAGGUCUUCGGAUCGUAAAACUCUGUUAUUAGGGAAGAACAUAUGUGUAAGUAACUGUGCACAUCUUGACGGUACCUAAUCAGAAAGCCACGGCUAACUACGUG